ACGCAGACAACUAUUUAAUAAAUAGAUAAAACAGCGCAGUGGAACGCAAACACGCGUAUUGUGGGAACGGGUACUUAUUGGAUACUUCUGAGACCUAAUUCUGUACAUCUGCAGCACUUUUGUAUCAACAUAAGACAGAUGUCUCUCUCUUUGUGUCGGGACACUUCAUACGUUGUCGCCCCUCUCCAGAUGUCUGCAGAGUGCUUGAAAGAGGAGAGGAGCUGAAAGGGGCUGCACUCGCAGCAAUGUUAUCUCUCUCCGACACACGCAAUUUGGCUGCCAGUUCCUGCAGCCU